GUAGCCAUGUGGAUUACUUGUGGAUUAUUGUGAUGUUUUUAUCAGAUGUUUGGACUUUCAUUCUGACGGCACCCAUUCACUGCAGGGUAUCCUGGAUUAAUGCUGAAUUUCUCCAAAUCUGUUUCCAUGAAGAAACAAACUCAUCUUGGAUAGCCUGAGGAAACACUUAUCAACCAUCUCCAGAAAACUACAAGCACUAUCUCGCUCAAGGAAUGUUGACAGAAACAACACAACAGCAUCAGAUAAACAGCUUAGGUCUUCAUACGUGGCCUUACCAGUCCAAUAAGGCAUAAAUAAUAAAGAAACAAAUUCUUCAUACCAACACUGGUUUUCUUUAUCCUCAUGUCUGCUCUGGUGGGCACGUCUGAAGCGCUUGCUGGUUAGCGCAGCCUCCAUUUCUUCAAUCUCACAGCGC